AUGAAGGACCUUGGUGUGGCUGAUGUUAUCUUGAACAUCAAGCUACUGAGAGAUAAUGAGGGUGGGAUCACACUUCUGCAAUCCCAUUAUGUUGAGAAGGUGUUGAGUCGUUUUGGAUAUUCGGACUGCACACCAUCUCAAACACCAUAUGAUCCUAGCGUGUUGAUUCGAAAGUCCAAAGGCAUGGCUAAAGAUCAAUUGAGAUACUCUCAAAUCAUUGGUUCACUGAUGUACCUAGCGAGCGCAACGAGGCCUGACAUCGAAUUUGCUGUGAAGGCCACAACUGGGUAUAUGUUUACUCUUGGAGGUGGCGCUGUUUUCUAG
rnacentral:rRNA from 1 species